UCUCCUUCCUUCUGUUUUAAUUGCCAUUUGCAUUUUUCCAAAAUUUCUUCUUCUUUUUUGUGUUAUAUUGGUUUCUGCUUAGUUGAUGCAGUUAUCCUAUUAGAUGAAGAAUUUUAGACUUUUGUCAUCAUGCAUAAAGAUUAUGUGCAUGUUUGGGUAUAAGCGGACAUUCUUUUCUUGAUCAGCCCCUGCACAAUGAAGGAUAUGCAGCAGUCCUACUCUAUAUACGGACCUUUCAACUAGAAUAAUCUUUCUGGCCCUGCGGAAAUAGUGGUACGAGCACCAUUGGAGCGAGACAAGAUCUUCAGUAGGAUUAUAAAUAUGGUUGUCUUUUGCGGAAUACAUUUGUUACCAUGAAUGCUAAUUUGGUUUGGAAGUUUGUCAUAAAUCAGAUUGCCUAGGUACAAGUAUUAGAGAAAGGGUAUUUCUGUGGAUUUUGCUAGUAGUUUUGGUGAAGGUUAGGAUUAGCAUUUCGUACUUAGAGGAAUUGAAGCAAACAUUAGAUGCUAACUAUGCUAUCGGUGAGAGGAAAACCAUGUGGAUCAACUUUAAUUUUCUUUUCUUUUCCUUGAAAUCCGCCUGAAUGUCACCAUCACAAUUGUCCUCUUGAAUGGGAAAAAAAACACCUACUUUCCUAGAUGCUCAAGAUCCUUUACCUUGAUAAUGAAUAUUAACCAAAAAGGUUGAGUAGGAACCUUGUAUCCUCAUGAAUUGACAGGACAACUCUUUGGUUUUAUUGUCCAAUGAACUAGUGGAUGCAUCAUCUUUUCACUCAUUGAGGGAAUGGGACACUGGUGGUCUUCCACUUGCGAGCAGCUCUGCUGUUUGAAUAUAGUCUUCUUUGUAUUAAUGUUUGUGUGCUGGACCAGACUCUUACAUGAUUAUGUUGUGCAUUUGGUGAUACAAGUCAGGGAUGCAUAACUGUCUUGUUUUCUUUGGAUAAAUGACCAUAUAUCUUUGUAUGAUUCAAUUACAUUUAGUUUUAAUUUUCUUCUCUCGUCUUCUAUUAAAUCCUAGACAAUGCAUGAUGUUGUAUCACUUGGAUUGUGAUUAACAUAUACAAUAUCAAGCAAUGCUAGGAAACGUUAGACCAGUAUACAGAACUGGCAUGCAAAGGUGUGGCAAAGCCAUGUGGGUGCUCAGAGAAAUGAGCCCCUAUUCAAC